UAAUACGUAGGCAGCAAGCGUUGUUCGGAGUUACUGGGCGUAAAGGGUGCGUAGGCGGCCGCAAAAGUAUGGUGUGAAAUCUCCCGGCUUAACUGGGAGGGUGCGCUAUAAACUGCGCGGCUAGAGUGUGGGAGAGGAAAGUGGAAUUCCUGGUGUAGCGGUGAAAUGCGUAGAUAUCAGGAGGAACACCGGUGGUGUAAACGGCUUUCUGGACCAUAACUGACGCUGAGGCACGAAAGCGUGGGUAGCAAACAGGAUUAGAUACCCUGGUAGUCCACGCCCUAAACGAUGCAUAUUUGGUGUGGGCCAUUCAUUUGGUCCGUGCCGGAGCUAACGCGUUAAAUAUGCCGCCUGGGGAGUACAGUCGCAAGGCUG
rnacentral:rRNA from 1 species